UCAUUCUACCACCUCUAGUGACUACUCUAACAGAAUUGUCAUUCAACUCAUUGAGCAAGUCAUUUUGAGCCUUAAGUAUUUGUUCUACUUGAGUAGUGACCAUAUAGGCAUGUUUACUCAAAAGCUUAAGAUCAUUGACAUUUCUAUCCACACAAGCACUUAUAUGAUCAAUCAUACGAGCAUUUUGCCUCAAUUGUCUGCUAACAUAAUCAUUGAAACUUUGUUGUUUGGCAACAAAGUUAUCAAAUUC
rnacentral:lncRNA from 1 species